AGAGUUUGAUUAUGGCUCAGGAUGAACGCUGGCGGCGUGCCUAACACAUGCAAGUCGAACGUGAUCCCGAUUUCGGUUGGGUGAAAGUGGCGAACGGGUGAGUAACACGUUGGUGACCUGCCCCGAAGCGGGGGAUAACUCUGGGAAACCAGAGCUAAAACCCCCAGAUGUUUAAGGGAUUAGAGGCCUUAAACUAAAAACUCCGGUGCUUUGGGAGGGGCCUGCGGGCUAUCAGCUAGUUGGUGGGGUAAAGGCCCUACCAAGGCGAAGACGGCUAGGGGGCGUGAGAGCGUGACCCCCCACAAUGGAACUGAGAAACGGUCCAUACUCCUACGGGAGGCAGCAGUGAGGAAUAUUGAGCAAUGGGCGCAAAACGCCUGACUCAGCAACGCCGCGUGGAUGAUGACGGCCUUCGGGUUAGUAAAUUCCUUUCUGGGGGAAGAUAAUGACGGUACCCCAGGAAUAAGUUCCGGCUAACUACGUGCCAGCCGCCGC
rnacentral:rRNA from 1 species